rnacentral:rRNA from 1 species
GACAUAGGUCGCAAACGUUAUCCGGAAUUAUUGGGCGUAAAGGAUGCGUAGAUGGUUCAGUAAGUUACUGGUGGGAAAUCGAGGCCCAACCUCGUGGAAGUUAGUAAUACUGUUGAACUUGAGUGCAGGAGAGGUUAACGGAACUUCAUGUGGAGCGGUAAAUGCGUAGAUAUAUGAAAGAACAUCAAUAUGGCGAAGGCAGUUAACUAUUCUGCUACUGACAUUGAGGCAUGAAAGCGUGGGAGCAAACGG